UUUGUCAACUCAAAAGUUAUUGCACUGCCGUCAUUAAUCUGUACUUGAAAGACCAAAGCAAUAAUUUUAAAUCGUAGUGAAAUAAUAAAUACUUAAGUAUACUAUCUAGUAUAAUAUGUAUUCCAGUUUUGUGUAACACUGUUAAAAAAAAUAAAAUGGGUGGAAAAUCUAAACAAAGCCAAAGGACUAAAAACAAUGCUAGACCUUCAAGUAGCAGCCGCAGUGCAGAGCUGUUGAAUAGCAGCACAGGCCUCGACGGGGGGCUUCUUACUCUUGGCAGCGGCAAGCCUUUGCCUCCACUCUUCCCGACUUUAGCUGCUGCCAACCUGGAGCAGGGCCUCAAUCCCGAAUUUCAAAUGUGCAUCAAGAAGCUUAGUAAAAAGGAUCCUAUCACAAGAACUAAGGCUCUGCAAGAACUGUGUGAGCUCAUAAACAAUGGAGAUGUUGAAGAUGUGGUGGCUGCCUUGCCCAGCUGGGCACACUUCUACAAGAUACUCACUGCUGACACCGACCGGAAAGUUAGAGAGAUGACACAGGUGUGCCACGGCGCGGCGCUGCGGGCGGCGGGGCGACGCGCGGCGCCGCAGCUGCGCGCGCUGCUGCCCGCCUGGCUCACGGCGCAGUACGACGACCACGCGCCCGCGCAGGCGCAGGCGCAGCUCUCCCUCACGAGAACAUUCCCUGAUAACAAACUGCCUGAAGUGAUCUCGUUCUGCAAAGCGGAAGUGAUCGCACAUCUGUUGGACAAUCUCAACGGCAACACUGAAGCACUGCUCAAGAAGAGGAUAGAGAACGCGGAGGAGCGCGAGCUUCAGAUGAACCGCAUCCUGACGAGCAGCCUGCAGGGGCUGCAGUACUUCGUGCAGCACCUGCCGGCCGCGCACGACGCCUGGCUGUGGGGCGAGCUGGCGCCGCUGCUGCAGCACGCCUUCUGGAAGCUGCCGCUGUCCACGCCGCACGUCAGGGCGGCGUGGCUGUGCGCGCUGGGCGCGCUGGCGGCGCGGGGCGGCGCGGCGGUGGGCGCGGCGCACGGCGGCCGGGCGCUGCGCCUGCUGCUCGCCGACACGCGCGAGCCCGCGCCGCUGUGGGGCUGUCUGCUGCAGAUCAUGCAGCACGUGCCGGACUGGCACACGUACUUAGACAAGAAAGAAUUACUAGUUAAGCGGAUUAUAGAUCUCUUGGAAAAUGGUGGAUGGGGAGACGCGAAGCAGCUGUCCAACAUGUUGCUGCCGCUGUUGGCGUAUCUGCCUCAAGACAUAUUGACUAAGGACUUCUACGAAGCCUUCUUUCGUGCCAUGUUUAAUGGACUCGAAAAGAAAAAUAUUUUGAGUUCAAAAAGCGAAAGGCAGGCAUGGAUCACGAGCUUAGCGGAAUGUUUGCGCUACGUAUCCAUACAGCCGCGCGAGUUCGUGCCCGAGCUCGCCACCAGCACGCACCGCGCCUGGCUCGGCGCCGCGCUGGGCCCGCAUGCUGCCCAGCUCGGCAAGCCCUGCGCCGCCCACAUGGCCUCGCUGCUCAAGUACUGGCUCAAACUAUCCCAGCAGGACAAAACUGAAAAAUACGAUCAUCUAGUGAGAAACUUUUGGCAGAAUGUCACUUCUACCAUUCUGGCACAGAUCGACAAGGCCGGUUCGGAACACGACGAAAUAGCUAAGGUGAUCGACGGGCAUAUCGCCUUCUUACAAAUGUUGAAGACGUCGUUUUGUCAAGAGGCGAAGAAGCAGCAGAGUAUCAAGUUCGAGGGCUCGGCGGCGCCGCCGGCGGAGGCUGCGGGCGCCGCCGAGCCGUGCGACGGUGCGCUGGCUGUGCGCUUCCAGCACGCGCUGGCGCAGUGCGUGCAGGCCGCCGCCGCCGCCUGCCUGCGCGCCGGCGCCGCGGCCGCGCUGGCGGCGCUGCUGGCGGCGUUCGGCUCGGCCGCGCUGCUGGCGGCGCUGGCGGCGCAGGUGGGCGGCGGCUCUGCGCACGCGCUGUACGAGCGGGCGCUGCGGCCCCGCCUCGCGAGCGACGCCACGCGCUGCGCCGCGCUCGUCGACGUCGUGUUCCUCGCGCUGCAGUACAUGACCGAACAGGAACAGGACGCCGUCUUCGACACCUUUCAACACCUGCCUCUGAGCGCGGUGGAGUGGUGCGUCCGCGCGGCCGCGUCGCACCCGCACCUCGCCAGCCCCGCGGCGCAGCGCUGGCUGCGCAGCGAGGCCGUGGCGCCGCUGCCGGCCGAGCUCGCCGCGCGCGGCGCCGCCGGCGACUCGGGCGCCGCCGCGCUGCUGCUGCGCCUGCUGGGCGCGGCGGGCGGCUGGCAGGUGAGCGGCGCGGGCGUGGCGGGCGCCGUGCAGGCGGCGUGCGCGGCGCUGGAGGGCGCGGAGGGCGCGGAGGGCGCGGAGGGCGAGGCGCUGGCGGGCGCGGCGGCGCUGGGCGCGCGGCUGGCGGUGGCGCUGGCGGGCUCGCGCGCGCCGCACUACGCGCGCCUGCUGCUGCAGCUGCUGCGCCUGGACGUGCUGGUGCCGCGCGGGGACGCGCGGCUGGCGGCGGACGCGUGGUGCGAGGUGCGGUCGUCGUGGGCGGACGGCGCGGGGGCGCUGGCGCCGCACGAGCGCCCCGCCCUGCUGCAGCGCGUCGCCGCCUUCCUGCGGGAACAGCUGCAGCUCACUAUGGACAAAUUGGACAUUGCAAGAAUUGAAAACAUCAUGUCUCCCUGUCCUCACUUAUUCAAAUGCUGCGACGAGACCGGAGCACCGGAGGACGUCACCGAAAUAGCAAACUUCACUAAAUCAAUAUUCGACACGGAGGAUGAAGACUCGCUAGAGGUGGAGUGCGACGCGCUGCGGUACGAGUGCGUGACGUCACGGCUCAACUGCCUGUUCGAGGACGACAACGAGGCCAUCGCGGCCGUCAUCCGCUCGGCGGGCAGCAGCCGCGUGCGCGAGCUGGGCGCGGCGCAGCUGCGGCGCCACGCCACGCGCCUGCUGGCCCGCGCCGCGCUGCUGAGCGGCGUGCUGCUGCGCCGCGCCCACGCCGCCUGGGGCCGGGCGCUGCUGCACGACGACUACCUGCGAGAUCAAUUCUGCACACUCUACUACGAUUAUAUCGUAAUCGACUCGUUACACGACGGCUAUGCUUUUAAGCGUCACUGCGACGUAGUGGCAGCCACGCGCGGGCGCCUGCGCGAGCUGCUGGCGCGAGCCGCGGCGCCGGCGGGCGCGGCGCUGCAGGCCGCGCUGCGGGCCCGCGCCGCCGCCCGCGCCUACCUGUGGCCCCGCGCCGCGCUCUGCCACCAGCGCAUGCUGCAGCCCGCCGCCCGGCCGCGCCACACGGCGCCUGCCGACGAGCCACAGGACACGGUGCCUGCUGACGAGCCACAGGACACAGGGCCCGCCGACUCGCCGCAGGACGCGACGCCUGCCGACGAGCCACAGGACACAGGGCCUGCCGACUCACCACAGGACACGCUGCCCACCAACUCGCCACAGGACACGCUGCCCGCCAACUCGCCACAGGACACGCUGCCCGCCAACUCGCCACAGGACACGCUGCCCGCCAACUCGCCACAGGACACGGCGCUUGCCGACGCGCUCGACGGACACAAGCUCGAGGACGUUGUCUCCGGAAAUGGAUACUUCCACACUUUACAGGCGAGCACGACGUGGCGCUCGGAGGAGUCGGAGGCGGCGUCGGAGGCGGCGUCGGAGGCGGCGUCGGGGGCGGCGUCGGAGGCGGCGUACGAGACGGCGCGGCUGGUGAUGCUGCGCAGCUGGCUGGCGGCGCACGGCGACUGCGGCGACGCCGGGCUGGACGGCAUCGUCAACGCCUACUACCGCCACAACCACACCAUGCUCUACGACAGGGACAUCUCGGAGUGCUCGUGGCGCGAGGUGGUGAGCAACGCGGCCGUGGUGGAGUUCCUGAGCCACACCGUGACGUCACGCGGCUGGCACGCGCCGCCGCACCACUGGGACUUCGUGUCCAUCACGCUGUGCUCGCUGCUGAACUCGCUGCGCAAGUCCAUGGAGCAGUGGGGCAGCCCGCGCGUGGCGCUGCUGGCGCGCGCCGUGCUGCGGCUGUGGGCGCGCGUGCGGCGCUUCGUGCGCGACGUGCCGGCGCGCAGCACGCGCGAGCAGCCCGCCGCGCACGUGGCGGCGCUGCCGCGCGAGUGGGACGACAUGUUCGCGCCCGACACGCACUACAACCUGUUCGCGCUCGCGCUGCACCUGCUCGAAUGUUGUAACGAGAGCGAAAUGACGAGCCCGCGAAUAGAAGUGAUCGGCGCCCUCAUAGAGUGCCUGAAGCUGAGCGACUGGUUCGCGCUGAACGCGGCGCACCGGCGCAGCGAGCUGAGCCUGGCGCGGCUGCUGCCGGCCGCCGCCGCCGCGCUGCAGCGGCCGCCGCACCACGCCGCCGCCUGGCUCGCCUACCACCUGCUGCUGGCGCUGGCCGGGCCGCUGGUGCUGGACGACGCGGAGAAGCUGGCGCAGUGGAGCGACAGCUCGGAGUCGGAGGAGGCGCAGGCGCGGCCGGCGCUGAGCGUGGAGCUGCUGCACGACGCCUUCGAGAGCCUGCACGACAUCGUGGACGCCGCGCUCGCCUCUGUCGUGUUGGGCGAGGGCACGUGCGAGAUGGUGCCGAUGUCGGACAGCUACAACGCGGCGCUGGCGUGGCUGCUGCUGGGCGCGGCGCUGUCGGCGCUGGCGGGCCGCGCCCGCGGCGACCUGGCGCAGCAGUACGGCGCCGUGUGGCGCGACCGCCGCCACGCCGAGCGCACGCUGGGCGCCGCGCUGCGCCUGCUGCCCGCCGCCGUGUGGGCCGCCUGCUGCGACCACCCGCCGCCCGCGCCGCCGCAGCACCACGACCUCUUCCUCGUCGACCACGACUUCUCCGUGCACGAGGCGGCUAGCAGCGGGGCGGUGGCAGCGCUGGCGUGCCGCGCGCUGUUCGCGUGCGUGACGGGCGCGGGCGCGGCGGGCGCGCGCGGCUGGCGCGGCGCGGCGGCGGCGCGGGCGGCGCGGCUGCUGGCGCGGCUGGUGCGCGAGUACGUGGCGCCGCCCGCCGUGCGCGAGCAGCUGCGCGAACUGCAGCGCCGCGCCGCGGAGAUCGACGACGCCGAGAUCCACAUCGCGUGGUCGUCGAGCGAGGUGACGUGCUGGUACAGCGUGGAGGAGCGGCGCGUGGAGCUGCGCGUGUGGCUGGCGCGGGAGCACCCGCUGGUGGCGCCGCGGCUGGCGGCCGGCGGCGGCGGCGGCGGCGGCGGCGGCGGCGUCGGCGCCAACACGCACUGGCUCGCGCUCUACCUCGCCUACCAGAACGGCACGCUGCUGAACGCCCUGAAGAUGUGGACGGCGGCGGUGAACGCGCGCGUGGAGAGUGCCCCGCAGUGCUACAUCUGCUACUGCCGCCUGCACCCCGCGUCCGGCCGCCUGCCGCGCGUGCCGUGCCACCAGUGCCGCAACAAGUUCCACAACGUCUGCCUCGUACGUACUCUACUGACAUCUGCUACUGCCGCCUGCACCCCGCGUCCGGCCGCCUGCCGCGCGUGCCGUGCCACCAGUGCCGCAACAAGUUCCACAACGUCUGCCUCGUACGUACUCUACUGACAUCUGCUACUGCCGCCUGCACCCCGCGUCCGGCCGCCUGCCGCGCGUGCCGUGCCACCAGUGCCGCAACAAGUUCCACAACGUCUGCCUCGUACGUACUCUACUGACAUCUGCUACUGCCGCCUGCACCCCGCGUCCGGCCGCCUGCCGCGCGUGCCGUGCCACCAGUGCCGCAACAAGUUCCACAACGUCUGCCUCGUACGUACUCUACUGACAUCUGCUACUGCCGCCUGCACCCCGCGUCCGGCCGCCUGCCGCGCGUGCCGUGCCACCAGUGCCGCAACAAGUUCCACAACGUCUGCCUCGUACGUACUCUACUGACAUCUGCUACUGCCGCCUGCACCCCGCGUCCGGCCGCCUGCCGCGCGUGCCGUGCCACCAGUGCCGCAACAAGUUCCACAACGUCUGCCUCGUACGUACUCUACUGACAUCUGCUACUGCCGCCUGCACCCCGCGUCCGGCCGCCUGCCGCGCGUGCCGUGCCACCAGUGCCGCAACAAGUUCCACAACGUCUGCCUCGUACGUACUCUACUGACAUCUGCUACUGCCGCCUGCACCCCGCGUCCGGCCGCCUGCCGCGCGUGCCGUGCCACCAGUGCCGCAACAAGUUCCACAACGUCUGCCUCGUACGUACUCUACUGACAUCUGCUACUGCCGCCUGCACCCCGCGUCCGGCCGCCUGCCGCGCGUGCCGUGCCACCAGUGCCGCAACAAGUUCCACAACGUCUGCCUCGUACGUACUCUACUGACAUCUGCUACUGCCGCCUGCACCCCGCGUCCGGCCGCCUGCCGCGCGUGCCGUGCCACCAGUGCCGCAACAAGUUCCACAACGUCUGCCUCGUACGUACUCUACUGACAUCUGCUACUGCCGCCUGCACCCCGCGUCCGGCCGCCUGCCGCGCGUGCCGUGCCACCAGUGCCGCAACAAGUUCCACAACGUCUGCCUCGUACGUACUCUACUGACAUCUGCUACUGCCGCCUGCACCCCGCGUCCGGCCGCCUGCCGCGCGUGCCGUGCCACCAGUGCCGCAACAAGUUCCACAACGUCUGCCUCGUACGUACUCUACUGACAUCUGCUACUGCCGCCUGCACCCCGCGUCCGGCCGCCUGCCGCGCGUGCCGUGCCACCAGUGCCGCAACAAGUUCCACAACGUCUGCCUCGUACGUACUCUACUGACAUCUGCUACUGCCGCCUGCACCCCGCGUCCGGCCGACUGCCGCGCGUGCCGUGCCACCAGUGCCGCACCAAGUUCCACAACGUCUGCCUCCGCAAAUGGUUCGCUACGAGCAACAAGUCGAGCUGCCCGCUGUGCCGCUCGCCGUUCUGAUCCGCGCGGUCGCUGCGAGUUGCGCCUCGCCACUUCUCGGCUCGAUACUGGAAUGUUUUCAAACAUACUACCGACAAUCGCAUAUCGCCUUCAUGUGAAACUUUAUUCAUCUGAAUCUAAACUUAAUACAGAAACCAGCUGCAUAGGUAUUAUAUUCUCCAUCCAUUCAUGUUCCAUAUUAAUCGGCAUUGUGACUCGGAGUAGCCUGCAUCGCACGUGCAUUUGUAACCACGGAACAGAAAAAUAAAGUAGAAAUGGCUUAGAAUGAACUUACUAGGGAAACCAGUGUCGCCAAACUGGCACAAAUAACCCGAUAAUCAUAUUACACAAUACUAAAAUGCUAUGUGUAGAUUUCUAAAUGGAGCUUUUAAGUUUCCCAGUUUUGCUUUAAAGCAGAAACUGUUUGUACUCGGCUUGUUUAGAUAUUUUUAAACUUUUAGAAUGCGUAGCGAAAUCUAGUGUUUAUUUUGUUAAGUAAAUGGACUAUACGUUGCGCAGCAGUUUUGGAACUUUGGAUGUGUCUUACGAAUUAUGACUCUGUGUGUAUUAAAAAAAUAGUUUUGGACCCAAAACCUGAAAAAUAGCACUUCCACAUUAUUUGUCUGUUCAUUGUAUCUAUAUCUAUCACAGAAGGCUAUUACUACAACAUAGGUAGGAAGAGGUCAGGCUUGAAUUGGAUGAAAAAACUACCAAACAGUGAAUAUUGUUUGUUAAAAACUUAAAACAUUUGUCUACAUUUGCUGUCCGCGGUAGAUCUGCCAUGUUGGAAUAGCGCUGGAUUUCGAAACAUGUUAGUAAUAUAUGCAACACCCUGCUAUAAAUAUCAUAAAACAUAUGUAAGAUAUGGAUCGCCUCUCAUGAACUGAAUGAAAUUAUCGAGUCUAAAUUGUGUAAAUAAAUGAAUUUUUAUCAAUUA